UGGCGCACGGGUGAGUAACGCGUAUGCAACCUACCUUUAACUGAGGGAUAGCCCAUAGAAAUGUGGAUUAAUACCUCAUAGUUCUUUUGUCCCGCAUGGGAUGAUAGAUAAAGCUCCGGCGGUUAAAGAUGGGCAUGCGUGACAUUAGUUUGUUGGUGAGGUAACGGCUCACCAAGACUACGAUGUCUAGGGGUUCUGAGAGGAUGAUCCCCCACACUGGUACUGAGACACGGACCAGACUCCUACGGGAGGCAGCAGUGAGGAAUAUUAGUCAAUGGGCGCAAGCCUGAACCAGCCAUCCCGCGUGAAGGAUGAAGGUCCUAUGGAUUGUAAACUUCUUUUAUACACCAAGAAAAACACCCACGUGUGGGUGCCCGACGGUAGUGUAUGAAUAAGCAUCGGCUAACUCCGUGCCAGCAGCCGCGGUAAUACGGAGGAUGCAAGCGUUAUCCGGAUUCAUUGGGUUUAAAGGGUGCGUAGGCGGCUUUUUAAGUCAGUGGUGAAAUCCUGUCGCUUAACGAUAGAAUUGCCAUUGAUGCUGAAAAGCUUGAGUACAUUUGAGGUAAGCGGAAUGUGUAGUGUAGCGGUGAAAUGCUUAGAUAUUACACAGAACACCAAUUGCGAAGGCAGCUUACUAAACUGUAACUGACGCUGAUGCACGAAAGCGUGGGGAGCGAACAGGAUUAGAUACCCUGGUAGUCCACGCCGUAAACGAUGCUCACUCGCUGUUUGCGAUACACAGCAAGCGGCCAAGCGAAAGCAUUAAGUGAGCCACCUGGGGAGUACGAUCGCAAGGUUGAAACUCAAAGGAAUUGACGGGG
rnacentral:rRNA from 1 species